GGAUCAUUACGAAAAAAACGAGUUGCAAAAGACUCGAAAACCACCGUGAACCUACCUUCGUCGUUGCUUCGGCGGGCGGAGCCCCUUCCCCCCCUCGAGGGCGGGGGGCGCCGUAGCCCGAAAGGGUGCCCGCCGGAGGAACCCACCAGUAAACCUCUCGUGUCAUCGUGUCUCUCUGAGUCGACUGGCAAAUUCAGUUAAAACUUUCAACAACGGAUCUCUUGGUUCUGGCAUCGAUGAAGAACGCAGCGAAAUGCGAUAAGUAAUGUGAAUUGCAGAAUUCAGUGAAUCAUCGAAUCUUUGAACGCACAUUGCGCCCGCCAGUAUUCUGGCGGGCAUGCCUGUUCGAGCGUCAUUUCGACCCCUCAAGCCCGGCUUGGUGUUGGGGCCCCUACCUUCGCCGUAGGCCCCGAAUUGCAGUGGCGGGCUCGCCGUGAUCUCGAGCGUAGUAGUGUUACCUCGCUCAGGGCGCGCGGCGGGUGCCGGCCGUGAAACGAAGUGGGACCCUAAAAAAGUCCACACACACACAACACACAAGGUUGACCUCGGAUCAGGUAGGAAUACCCGCUGAACUUAAGCAUAUCAAUAAGCGGAGGAAAAGAAACCAACAGGGAUUGCCCCAGUAACGGCGAGUGAAGCGGCAACAGCUCAAAUUUGAAAUCUGGCCUCGGCCCGAGUUGUAAUUUGCAGAGGAUGCUUUAGGCGCGGCGCCUCCCGAGUCCCCUGGAACGGGGCGCCACAGAGGGUGAGAGCCCCGUAUGGUAGGACGCCUAGCCUGUGUAAAGCUCCUUCGACGAGUCGAGUAGUUUGGGAAUGCUGCUCAAAAUGGGAGGUAAAUUCCUUCUAAAGCUAAAUACCGGCCAGAGACCGAUAGCGUACAAGUAGAGUGAUCGAAAGAUGAAAAGUACUUUGAAAAGAGGGUUAAACAGCACGUGAAAUUGUUGAAAGGGAAGCGCUCGUGACCAGACUUGCGCCGGGGCGAUCAUCCGGUGUUCUCACUGGUGCACUCGUCCCGGCUCAGGCCAGCAUCGGUUCUCGCGGGGGGAUAAAAGUCCCGGGAACGUAGCUCCUCUGGGAGUGUUAUAGCCCGGGGCACAAUGCCCUCGCGGGGACCGAGGCCCGCG
rnacentral:misc_RNA from 1 species